rnacentral:rRNA from 1 species
UACGUAGGGGGCAAGCGUUGUCCGGAUUUACUGGGCGUAAAGAGCGUGUAGGCGGCCACGCAGGUCCGUUGUGAAAACUGGAGGCUCAACCUUCAGACGUCGACGGAAACCGUGUGGCUAGAGUCCGGAAGAGGAGAGUGGAAUUCCUGGUGUAGCGGUGAAAUGCGCAGAUAUCAGGAAGAACACCAAUGGCGAAGGCAGCUCUCUGGGACGGUACUGACGCUGAGACGCGAAAGCGUGGGGAGCAAACAGG